CAUAGCGACUAUCGUGGCAUAUCAAUAAGCGGAGGAAAAGAAACUAACAAGGAUUCCCCUAGUAACGGCGAGUGAAGCGGGAAGAGCUCAAAUUUGAAAUCUUCAAGGUUUGACCUUGACGAAUUGUAGUUUAAAGAAGUGUUUUCGGUUAGUAGGAGUAGUCAAAAGUUCUUUGGAAUAGGACAUCAUAGAGGGUGAGAAUCCCGUAUUUGAUCAUUCUUUCUAGCUUUGUGAUACACUUUCAAAGAGUCGGAUUGUUUGGGAAUGCAGUCCAAAAUGGGUGGUAAAUUUCAUCUAAAGCUAAAUAUUGGCGAGAGACCGAUAGCGAACAAGUACCGUGAGGGAAAGAUGAAAAGAACUUUGAAAAGAGAGUUAAACAGUACGUGAAAUUGUCAAAAGGGAAGCGUUUGACACCAGUGUUGUUUUUCCGAAAAUCAAUUAAAAAUUGAUUCAUGCCUAGGUUGUAUUGACCUUAUCAGCUUGCAAUUUAGUUUUGGGUCUCUUUUUGAUGCACUUUUCGGUUAACAAGUCAACAUCAAUUUCCUUUGCUGUAAAAAGGUAAGAGGAAGGUGGCUUCAAUUUCGGUUGAAGUGUUUAUAGCCUUUUAUCUCUGCAGUCGGGGAGAUUGAGGUCUGCAGCGUAGAUCCUUCGGGGCUAGAUACAUUUAUGCUAAGUUAUAGCUUUUCAUAGACAACUUGUUGACUAUGUUUAGUCAUGUAGCUUACUCGUAAGUGCUAUUUUACCUACGCUUAGGAUGUUGAUAGUCACAGCGUGUAC
rnacentral:rRNA from 1 species